AUGAGCUGGUUCUUUCCCCUGACCACCAAGAGCACCUCCUCCUCCACAGCUGGGUCCCCCGGUGGCCUCGCCAGCCUCCAGAAGAAGAAGCAGUGCCUGAUCGAGUCCUUCUGUAACUCACACUCCAGUAUAGCUGAAAUACAGAAAGAUGUGGAAUACAGAUUGCCAUUCGCCAUAAACAGUCUGACAAUUAACAUUCAUAUAUUGCUUCCUCCAUAAUUUCCUCAGGAAAAACCAUUGAUCAGUGUUUAUCCACCAAUACGACAUCACUUAAUGCAUAAACAAGGAGUGUAUGCUACCUCUCCAUUAGGGAGCAAUUUUACGAUGCACUCAGAUCUUGGAAAAAUUAUUUAGUCUGUUGAAUGAGUUUUGGAAGAAUCCUCCAGUUUUAGCUCCUAUUUCAACAGCAUUUCCUUACCUCUACAGUAACCCAAGUGGGAUGCCUUCUUAUGCUUCUCGUUUUCCAUUUCUUCCUCUAUAUCCCCCACAAGAAGCAAACACAAGUAUCUCUUCUUUAUCUGUUGCUAACACUGUUUCUUCUUCAACAACAAGUCAUACCACAGCCAAGCCCGCCCCUCCUUCAUUUGGCAUCCUUUCAGAUCUGCCGUUACCUGUUCCCACAAUGGACAUUUCAAUACCAACAAGCCAAAAUGGUUUUGGUUACAAGAUGCCAGAUGUCCCUGAUGCAUUUCCAGAACUCUCAGAACUAGGUGUGUCACAACCCACAGAUAUGAAUGAAUAAGAGAAGGUAUUACUAGAACAGUUUCUGACUUUGCCUCAACUAAAACAAAUUAUUACUGACGAAGGUGAGUUAGUAAAAGGUAUUGAGAAUCUAGCAAGAAAAAAAAUCUCCUUUUGGAGCCCAGCUUGGAAGCAGAAAGACAAACUGUUUUAGGUAAGUAUGAAUCACUUACACAAACGGAGUCUACUUUCAGAAAGAAGAAGCAAAAGCAGCAAGAACUUAGUGAGAGCUGUAGUGCCAGUGCCCUCCAGGCAACGCUGAAAGUAGCUGCACCCAAAGCUAAGGGAGAACCUGAUAAUAUUGCAGAAGAUUUCUUGGAAGGAAAAAUGGAAAUAGAUGGUUUUCUCAGGAGCUUCGUGAGAAAGAGAACAACUUGCCAUUGCAGAAGAGCCAGGGAAGAGAAACUUCAGCAGGCAAUAGCAAUGCACACACAAUUUCAUGCU